rnacentral:lncRNA from 1 species
GGAAGGAUUUGCAUACGGUAUUUAUUGACCUGGAGAAAGCGUAUGACAAAGUUCCGAGAGAUUCUAUGGAGAUGUUUGGAGGCUAGCAAUGUGCCUGUAGCCUACAUUUGGAUGAUUAUGGACAUGUAUGAUGGAGCUAAGACUCGAAUAAUGAUAGUGGGAGGAGACUUGAAACACUUACCGCUAGUGUUGGGGUUGUACCAAGGAUCAACCUUAGCCCGUUUUCAUUUUCCUUGGCUAUGGAUGCACUGGCGCACCACAUUUAAGGGGAGGCGCCAUGGUAUAUGUUAUUUAUAUAUGACAUAGUUCUGAUUGACGAGACAAGAUGUGGUGUUAAUAAGAGGCCGGAAGGUUAGAGAUAGACUCUAGAGUCUAAAGGUUUCAAGUUGAGUAGGACCAAGACAAAAUACUUGGAGUGCAAGUUCAGCGACGUGACCAAGUAAGCAGAUAUGGAUAUGAGGCUUGACACACAAGUCAUCACUAAGAGUGGAAGCUUCAAGUACCUUGGAUCAGUAGUCCAAGGAAAUGGGGAGAUUGACGUAGAUGUCCUACAUCAUAUUGAAGUGGGGUGGAUGAAAUGGAGGCUCACAUCCAGUAUCUUUGUGUGGUAAGAAUGUGCCCCUAAAACUUCUAAGUUUUAUAAAGUGGUGGUUAGACUGACUAUGUUGUAUGAGAUAAAGUAUUGGCCAGUCAAAAUCUUUCAUGCCCAGAGAAUGAAAGUAAUUGAAAUGAGUAUGUUGAGAUGGAUGUACAGACAUACUAGAUUAGAUCAGAUUAGGAAUGAAGAUAUUCGGAAAAAAUGGCAGUGGCCCUCGUGGAGGACAAGAUGCAUGAGGCGAAGCCAGUAUGGUUCGAGCAUGCGAAGAGGAGAAACAGUGAUGCUUCAUUUAUAAGGUGUGAGAGGUGACCUUGGUGAGUAUACGGAGAGGCAAAAGUAGAAGUAUGCCAAAUAAGUACUAGGGUAAGGUGAUUAGGCAUGAUAAGAAUGGACCUUGGGCCUAGCUCAACCCCAAAAGCUAGCUUAUGAGGUGAGGAUUGCCCAAGCCAUAUAAGGAGACCAAGGACCUCAAAUCCCUCCGAUGAAUAAGUACUAGGGUAAGGUGAUUAGGCAUGAUAAGAAUGGACCUUGGGCCUAGCUCAACCCCAAAAGCUAGCUUAUGAGGUGAGGAUUGCCCAAGCCAUAUAAUGAGACCAAUGACCUCAAAUCCCUCUGAUGUGGGACAACUCAACACCCCCCAGCACGUCCAGAUCUCUGGAGCGUGAACAACAUAAAUAGGGGCCCAAUAUCGGUAACAAUAAUUGGGAUGGGCCUGGCUCUGAUACC